CCGUUCCUGCCGCUUUCGGCUCAAUUUCUGUUGCUGCUGCUGCACAUCAUCCACGUCUCAAACAGGGUGGCAACGUAGCAGCGCAACAACCGAGACCGCGACACCGGACGCGCACUUAACCCCGCGACGAGGAUGGGCUGGCUAGCAAUAAAAAUGAACAUAUACAAAGUGCUCUGCGAAAAUUGUAUCUGGGGAGCACAGGAAGUUCCCUGUCUGCGAGGCGCCAAAAAUGGCGCACAAAAAUUUGGAUAAGAAAGAAGCGGAGGAGGGCAUGCCUGCCUGAAGCUUACGUAAGUGCAAAAAGCACAAACAGAGAGUGGGCGUGCGAAAGAGCCGGCACGAAACUUGCAAAACUUGUCGCCAAGGAAAUAGGGUGUCUCUGCUCUCUCUCUAUAUCACUCUCUCUCGAAUUACCUAGCAUUACAAUUGUAAUACAAUGGCGUGGAAUCGGAAUGCAGACACCCUGUGUCCUCUCUUUACAAGAGAGCGAACACCCACACACAUACAUAUAUAAUUGUGUGUACUGAGAUACUAUAUUGCAGUACAUAAUGAAAUCGAGAAAACUGAAAAUCAGAAACUAGCUACAACUCUGCCACGGCUACACUUUGAGGAAAGGAAGCGCAGGUGCAUCUAUCUCACCAUGACAAUUAGACCCCCGAUACUAUCGAUUGAUGAAGAUGAAGAGAUAUGAGCUCCCAAAAAAAAAAACACAUGUUUCCAUGAGAGGAGAGGAGAGCCAGGGCACCCAAAAAAAAACAAAAAAAAAAAUCUGUAUACGCAGAAAGCUUAGCUGCCGUGGAAGGGGCUAGCUAGAUGGCUGGUGGCAUGGAAAUGGAAACCUUGCAGUUAUCGAUUCGUCUCGCUCAUUGCGCAAUGAAAUGCAGCGGGGGCGGUCAGACACCGACAGCGACACCGACACCCGAGCGCCUAGAGAGUUGAGAGCGAGCCAACAGAGAGCCGAGGUACACCUGCAUCGGGCGGCGAUAGGAAAUGAAAUGCAAAUCGCAAGAGUGCCCAGCCAAACUCAUCAUCUUCCAGCCUCAAAGUUCAAAGUUCAGCAUGCAACUUGCAGUGUGCAGCGCAUGUCCGCAUUGGUGCACAACCAAGUCCCGGUUAAGUUUCCAGCUUUGUUGCACAGGAAGGUUUGUUUGCAUUUCCAAUGGUGUAUGGUGGAGUAUAUUUCGAAUGGCUUGGCAAGGACAGGACUGGACACAGGAGGCCUAUUCGUCCUAACAGAUACCAAAGAUCAUGGCUUUGCCUUAGAAAGAAUCAGAAGAUGUUCUCAAAGAAUAUAAAAUGUCUAAUUAAUGUCUAA